UACGAAGGGGGCGAGCGUUGUUCGGAAUUACUGGGCGUAAAGGGCGCGUAGGCGGCGCAACAAGUCACUUGUGAAAUCUCCGGGCUUAACCCGGAGCGGCCAAGUGAUACUGUCGUGCUAGAGUGCGGAAGGGGCUACUGGAAUUCUCGGUGUAGCGGUGAAAUGCGUAGAUAUCGAGAGGAACACCUGCGGCGAAGGCGGGUAGCUGGGCCGACACUGACGCUGAGGCGCGAAAGCCAGGGGAGCGAACGGG
rnacentral:rRNA from 1 species